rnacentral:rRNA from 1 species
CCUACGGGAGGCAGCAGUGAGGAAUAUUGGUCAAUGGACGAGAGUCUGAACCAGCCAAGUAGCGUGAAGGAUGACUGCCCUAUGGGUUGUAAACUUCUUUUAUAUGGGAAUAAAAUGUUCCACGUGUGGGAUUUUGUAUGUACCAUAUGAAUAAGGAUCGGCUAACUCCGUGCCAGCAGCCGCGGUAAUACGGAGGAUCCGAGCGUUAUCCGGAUUUAUUGGGUUUAACGGGAGCGUAGGUGGAUUGUUAAGUUAGUUGUGAAAGUUUGCGGCUCAACCGUAAAAUUGCAGUUGAAACUGGCAGUCUUGAGUACAGUAGAGGUGGGCGGAAUUCGUGGUGUAGCGGUGAAAUGCUUAGAUAUCACGAAGAACUCCGAUUGCGAAGGCAGUUCACUGGACUGCAACUGACACUGAGGCUCGAAAGUGUGGGUAUCAAACAGGAUUAGAUACCCCAGUAGUC